rnacentral:rRNA from 1 species
UACGAAGGGGGCUAGCGCUGUUCGGAAUCACUGGGUGUAAAGCGCACGCAGGCGUAUCGAUAAGUCGUGGGUGAAAGCCCGGGACUCAAACUCGGAAUUGCCUUCGAUUCUGUCGGUCUCGAGUCCGUGAGAGGUGAGUGGAAUUCCUAGUGUAGAGGUGAAAUUCGUAGAUAUUAGGAAGAACACCAGUGGCUAAGGUGGCUCACUGGCCCGGUACUGACGCUCAGGUGCGAAAGGGUGGGGAUCAAACAGG